rnacentral:pre_miRNA from 1 species
AGGGCUUAGCUGCUUGUGAGCAGGGUUCCCACCAGGCGUGUUCACAGUGGCUAAGUUCCGU